GACGAACGCUGGCGGCGUGCCUAAUACAUGCAAGUCGAGCGGAUCUCUUCGGAGAUCAGCGGCGGACGGGUGAGUAACACGUGGGCAACCUGCCUGUAAGACUGGGAUAACUCCGGGAAACCGGGGCUAAUACCGGAUAACCCUUCGGACCUCAUGGUCCGGAGCUGAAAGACGGUUAUGCUGUCACUUACAGAUGGGCCCGCGGCGCAUUGGCUAGUUGGUGAGGUAACGGCUCACCAAGGCGACGAUGCGUAGCCGACCUGAGAGGGUGAUCGGCCACACUGGGACUGAGACACGGCCCAGACUCCUACGGGAGGCAGCAGUAGGGAAUCUUCCGCAAUGGACGAAAGUCUGACGGAGCAACGCCGCGUGAGUGAAGAAGGUUUUCGGAUCGUAAAACUCUGUUGUUAGGGAAGAACAAGUACGAGAGUAACUGCUCGUACCUUGACGGUACCUAACCAGAAAGCCACGGCUAACUACGUGCCAGCCGCCGCAGAAGAC
rnacentral:rRNA from 1 species